GAUCGAGUUUGCCUGGCCCUUAAGGCCAAA
rnacentral:sRNA from 1 species